AGCAGCCGCGGUAAUUCCAGCUCCAAUAGCGUAUAUUAAAGUUGUUGCAGUUAAAAGGCUCGUAGUUGAAUUUCGGGAUCAGUAGGUUAGUCAUACCUCUGGUAUGUACUGGUCUCACUGAUUCCUCCCUCUUGAAGAACUGUAAUGUCGUUAAUUUGAUGUUGCGGGGAAUCAGGACUGUUACUUUGAAAAAAUUAGAGUGUUUAAAGCAGGCUCACGCUUGAAUACAUUAGCAUGGAAUAAUGAAAUAGGACGUAUGAUCCUAUUUUGUUGGUUUCUAGGAUUGACGUAAUGAUUAAUAGGGAUAGUUGGGGGCAUUAGUAUUCAAUUGUCAGAGGUGAAAUUCUUGGAUUUAUUGAAGACUAACUACUGCGAAAGCAUUUGCCAAGGAUGUUUUCAUUAAUCAAGAACGAAAGUUAGGGGAUCAAAGACGAUCAGAUACCGUCGUAGUCUUAACCAUAAACUAUGCCGACUAGGGAUCGGAUGAUGUUAAUUUUUUAAUGACUCAUUCGGCGCCUUA
rnacentral:rRNA from 1 species